GCAAAGGUAGCAUAAUAAUUAGUUUCUUGAUUAGAAACUGGAAUGAAUGAUUGGACAAGAGAAUUUCUGUCUCUUUUUUAAAUUUUUUGAAUUUUAUUUUUAAGUGAAAAAGCUUAAAUUUUUAUAAAAGACGAGAAGACCCUAUAGAGUUUAAUAUAUGAAGUCAAUUGAAUUUUAGAAAUAAAUUUUGGUUUUAUUUAUUUGGUUGGGGUGAUUAAAAGAUUAAAUGAAUUCUUUAAUUUGGCUAUUAGUGAUUUAUAAUUUUUGAAUCUAUAUUUUAUAAAUAUAAAAUAAAUUACCUUAGGGAUAACAGCGUAAUUUUUCUUUAAAGUUCUUAUUAAAAGAAAAGUUUGCGACCUCGAUGUUGGAUUAAAAUUAAUUUUUGGUGCAAUAACUUAAAAAUUAGGUCUGUUCGACCUUUAAAAUUUUACAUGAUCUGAGUUUAAACCGGUGUAAACCAGGUUGGAUUCUAUCUUUAGAAAUAUAAUAUAUUUUAGUACGAAAGGACCAAAUAUAUAUUAAAUUAAUUG
rnacentral:rRNA from 1 species